GUGGAAAUUUUCAGUUUGUCCGAAUUAAUUUGGACGAUUGCCAUAUUUCAGGGUACCCUAUUUUGGUAUCCUUAAAGGGUUACUCUGAGAACGAUGAAUAUUACAGUGAUUUAAAGUAGUCAUGGUGCCUGGAGUCUGUAUGUGCAGUUUUUCAUUAUAAAACACUGCGCAUGUAGAGAAUGACCCGUCUGCUACUGGAGGUGUAACUCCACCUCCGUCAACAUCAUUGCGGCAUCAUCAGCCAGCCUGAAAAUAGUG